GUCCAGACUCCUACGGGAGGCAGCAGUGGGGAAUAUUGCACAAUGGGGGAAACCCUGAUGCAGCGGCGCCGCGUGAGUGAAGAAGUAUUUCGGUAUGUAAAGCUCUAUCAGCAGGGAAGAAAAUGACGGUACCUGACUAAGAAGCCCCGGCUAACUACGUGCCAGCAGCCGCGGUAAUACGUAGGGGGCAAGCGUUAUCCGGAUUUACUGGGUGUAAAGGGAGCGUAGACGGCAUGGCAAGUCAGAUGUGAAAGCCCGGGGCUCAACCCCGGGACUGCAUUUGAAACUGUCAGGCUGGAGUGCAGGAGAGGUAAGUGGAAUUCCUAGUGUAGCGGUGAAAUGCGUAGAUAUUAGGAGGAACACCAGUGGCGAAGGCGGCUUACUGGACUGUAACUGACGUUGAGGCUCGAAAGCGUGGGGAGCAAACAGGAUUAGAUACCCGCGUAG
rnacentral:rRNA from 1 species